CUAUGAUGAAACCUAAACUGAUUAUAGCUGGAAUUACCGGCAGAUUGACCAGUGGUGAUUAACGGUUUUCUGACC